CCUACGGGAGGCAGCAGUGAGGCAUAUUGGUCAAUGGACGAGAGUCUUAACCAGCCAAGUAGCGUGAAGGAUGACUGCCCUAUGGGUUGUAAACUUCUUUUAUAUGGGACUAAAAUGUUCCACGUGUGGGAUUUUGUAUGUACCAUAUGAAUAAGGAUCGGCUAACUCCGUUCCAGCAGCCGCGGUAAUACGGAGGAUCCGAGCGUUAUCCCGCGUUAUUGGGUUUAAAGGGAGCGUAGGUGGAUUGUUAAGUCAGUUGUGAAAGUUUGCGGCUCAACCGUAAAAUUGCAGUUGAAACUGGCAGUCUUGAGUACAGUAGAGGUGGGCGGAAUUCGUGGUGUAGCGGUGAAAUGCUUAGAUAUCACGAAGAACUCCGAUUGCGAAGGCAGUUCACUGGACUGCAACUGACACUGAGGCUCGAAAGUGUGGGUAUCAAACAGGAUUAGAUACCCCAGUAGUC
rnacentral:rRNA from 1 species